AUUGAACGCUGGCGGCAGGCCUAACACAUGCAAGUCGAGCGAGCGGCGGACGGGUGAGUAAUGUAUGGGGACUGCCCGUUAGAGGGGGAUAACUACUGGAAACGGGGGCUAAUACCGCAUACUAUCGGAUAACCCAUAUGGGAUUAGCUAGUAGGUGGGGUAAAGGUCCACCUAGGCGACGAUCCCUAGCUGGUCUGAGAGGAUGAUCAGCCACACUGGAACUGAGACACGGCCCAGCCUCCUACGGAGGCAGCAGUGGGGAAUAUUGCACAAUGGGCGCAAGCCUGAUGCAGCCAUGCCGCGUGUAUGAAGAAGGCCUUAGGGUUGUAAAGUACUUUCAGCGGGGAGGCGUUACCCGCAGAAGAAGCACCGGCUAACUCCGUGCCAGCAGCCGCGGUAAUUC
rnacentral:rRNA from 1 species